UCGUUACAUGAUUAGUUGCCGACAGUAUAUUAGGCCUAACCAUGGGUGAGGUAGUCGUAGCAAACUUUAUAAACGGAGAAUUCGUACCAACAAAUUCAUACAUUCCAAGCUUUGACCCGUCAACUGGGAAGAUAUGGGCGAAGAUUCCGGACAGCGGCGAGGAGGAGAUAAACAAAGCGGUGACAGCAGCACAGACUGCCUUCAAAACAUGGUCGGUGAAAACUGCUGAGGAGAGGUCAAAGGUCCUGAUGAAGAUUGCUGACCUGUUGGAGUCUCGUCUAGUAGAGUUUGCUGAACUUGAAUCACAUGACCAGGGAAAGCCAGUUUGGCUGGCCAAGGCUAUAGACAUCCCGAGGGCGGUGUACAACUUCCGCAUAUUUGCAUCCUCUGUGCUACAUGAUACAAAUAGAUCCUCUGUGAUGGACGGUGUAGGCGCUGUGAACUAUACGGUGAGAGACCCUGUAGGUGUGGCUGGCCUCAUCAGUCCUUGGAACCUUCCUCUGUACCUGCUCUCCUUUAAGAUCGCCCCGGCGAUAGCUGCAGGCAACACAGUUGUCGCCAAACCAAGCGAGAUGACAUCGGUGUCGGCAUGGAAACUCUGCCAGAUAUUUAACGAAGCAGGUGUGCCCCCAGGGGUAAUCAACCUGGUGUUUGGUGUGGGGCCCAAGGCGGGGGAGGCACUGGUGGUACACCCAGAUGUACCCCUGGUAUCCUUUACUGGGGGAACUGUGACGGCCAAGAGGCUGAGGAUGUCAGCUGCUCCUUUCUGCAAGAAACUCUCACUUGAGCUUGGAGGCAAAAAUCCAGCGGUCAUUUUUGCUGAUGCUGAUAUGGAGAAGUGCAUCCCUACAACCAUAAGAUCUAGUUUCAUCAACCAGGGAGAGAUUUGUUUGUGUACGAGUCGUAUAUACGUGGAGAGGUCGGUCUACCAAACCUUCCUGAAGAAGUUUGUUGAGGAAACCAAGAAGUUGAAGGUUGGGGAUCGCAAACAAGACAGUAGCUUUAUGGGUGCUUUGAUCAGUAAGGAACACCUACAGAAGGUCAAAGGUUAUGUGAAGAUUGGGGUGGAAGAAGGAGCCACUAUACUCUGUGGUGAAGGAGUGGAUUCACUCGACCUACCAGCCGAAAAUACGGAGGGUUAUUUCAUGAGACCCACUGUUAUAACAGACCUGAAGGAGAACUCCCGUCUACUGAAGGAAGAGAUCUUCGGUCCCGUCACCUGUGUAGUUCCAUUUGAUACAGAAGAAGAGGCUAUUAUGAAAGCCAAUGAUGUACAGUAUGGCCUUGCAGCUACAUUGUGGACCCAGGACGUCUCUCGUCUUCACAGAGUCUCUAGGAAAUUACAGGUGGGCACAGUUUGGGCUAACUGUUGGUUGAUACGAGACCUCAAUAUGCCGUUUGGUGGAAUGAAGGAUUCUGGGAUAGGACGAGAAGGAUGUGUUGAAUCCAUGGAUUUCUAUACUGAGCAGAAGACAAUAUGUAUUAAAUUGUAAACACAUGAACUUUUAUAUCAUCAACGAACAGUAUUAUGAAAUUUAUUGUAACUACUUUUCUUUUCAGAAUUGUUUAAACAGACUGGGUUAGGGUUAAAUCAUUGAUUACAUAAGACUUAUAAAGAGGUGUGUUUCAGGUUUCACCACUCUCAAACCUGGUGUCAGGUGGGUAGAUCACUCUCAAACCUGGUGUCAGGUGGGUAGAUCACUCUCAAAACUGGUGUCAGGUGGGUAGAUCACUUUCAAACCUGGUGUCAGGUGGGUAGAUCAUUCUCAAACCAGGUGUCUGGUGGGUAGAUCACUCUCAAACCUGGUGUCAGGUGGGUAGAUCACUCUCAAACCUGGUGUCAGGUGGGUAGAUCACUCUCAAACCUGGUGUCAGGUGGGUAGAUCACCAGGUGGGUAGAUCACUCUCAAACCUGGUGUCAGGUGGGUAGAUCACCAGGUGGGUAGAUCACUCUCAAAACUGGUGUCUGGUGGGUAGAUCACUCUCAAACCUGGUAUCAGGUGGGUAGAUCACUCUCAAACCUGGUGUCUGGUGGGUAGAUCAUUCUUAAGGAACCAGUCAGUCUUGAAACGUUACAACAUGUUUUAUAGGUACACUGUUUGUAUAGUAAAUAAAAGUUAGAUAUUUCUUGUCAUCAUUUUAUAAAAUCUCAGGACUCGUGCUGCAUGUUCUAGUUUUCUGGUAGUAUUCAUACUACAUUUGAGUUCAUAUUUGUUAGGGUGACAGGCCAGUCAAUUUAUCUACAUGGGCAUGUUAAUAUUGUGAGAUACUCCAUUCUAAUUAUAUUGGUUUGUAUAUUAUGCUUUUUUUGGACAUGGGUUCAGGGUUAUAAAAUCAAAAUGUUGUGAAUUGAAGAAAUGAUCAAAAUAUGUUUAUGUAGUAUGCUUCCACUAUAUGGUGUAUUAUGCUAUAUGAUAGUCCAUUGAUUAUGUAUAUCUGCUAGGGCAGGUUGUGGGAGAUGUCACUUGUGAGGUAGCAUUUAUCCUGAAGAGAAAUCUCAGGGAUAACACGCCAGUUACAGGUGUGGGGUAGCUAGCAUAAACCCUUAAGUCAUAUAGUGAAAUACGAGUUCUACCUGUAAUGUCCCUGUAUUAAAUGUUUGGUGAAGAUUGUUACAUUUUUUUUGUUUAUUUGACAUAUAUAUGGAAACCAAAGAUAAGUAACAUUUAUCAAUGUUUUUUUAUUUGCGUUUUGUUCUUUAAUUGACAUUAGCAUUAAGACAUCAGACAUAAUUUAAGGAGGUUGCAAUUGUAUAACUCAUAUUCUAUAGUCAAAUCUCAUUUCGUCCUUGGACUGACCUCAUACAGUCAGUCCCUAGUCAUUCCAACUCAUGGUAGCUCGUUGAAUGCUUCAACUUGACAGGGAUUUUAGAAACCAAAUGGCCGCCAGGCAACCAUCUUGGUUUUGCAAGUAUUAGUUCUCAAGAACGCCUGAAUGGAUGAUGACACGAUGGUUUGUAGUCGGCCAUCUUGGAUUUUGUUUACAGACUGCACGACUGUAAAUGCUUUUACAUUUGUACCACUGUAUUUACUCUGAAAGUACAGAAGGGACCAUGAUGAAACUUGAUAUGCACUUUGGUCGAUACUUUUUCAUGCUUUAAAAUGAGCCAGAUCAGGCCAUCUAGGUUAGACGAGCCCCUCACAGUUCAUGUUAUCACUUCAGGUCAUCAUGAUCCCCAUAUAUAGUUUCAGGGUUUGUACCGUGUUUUGAAGGACAGAUAGAUAGAAAAAAUUAUUGUACUUACCAGCCACAUACCAUGGAAAGUCAGCGGCGAGCGCCAAUUCUCUGUGAUCUGUAGUAUGUAAUAACUUUUCCAAGGUUGUGAUAUAGACCAUUACAUGAAAUGCAUAAUUUGUUUCACUUUGUUGUAAAUAUCGGUAGAUAAUUGAAAUCAUAUUCUUGAUUGAAAACUUGAAAACCUGAAAGACCUUUUAAAUAAAUGAACAUGACCCAUCUUCAUGGUCACAAAGGUCAAAUGUGAAUUACCAAAGGGCUUCCUAGAGUGAUUAUAUUUUUCGGUAGCUUUAUGGGUUGUAAGACCAUUAAGUUACCUCCCUUUAAGCACUGUAUUCUGAAGAGCCAAGAGGCUUCAGGUGAUGUUACUAUAUGGCCUGUUAAGCAUGUAAAGAUGACUGAGCUAUUUUGUUUGUUAAGACAUUGAAGUAAAUUAUUUUUAACAAACAAAAGGACAAGGGUUAUGAUACAUUUAAGAAUGCUUGGACGAAGGGCUAUCGUUAUUAACGGUAGCAGUGAGAAACUGUGUUAAAAUGUUUGAAAUCAACGGUGAUAACUUUCUUGCUUUCAAAAUUGUUUAUACCACAGAGCUUAGCAUUUUUUGAAAGGUAACAGAUGGGAGAUGUUGUUUGCUAACAGUAUUGAAUCAACUGGCGAGUGUAGCAGGCCUAUUAGACCUCUUCCUGAUUUAGUAUAAAUGUAUUUUCUGUCAAUAUUUCUAUUGAGGUAUUGUUUGUAGACACAUUUGUGUGGCAGUAUUUCGAAGAGAUUUCCUUAUUUGCUUAAAGGAACUAUUUACUCCUGAUGUAUUUCAAUAGAGAUACUUAAAUUGAACUUCAAAAAUAUUGGUUUGUAUUUGAUUGAAUAAAUUCAUGAAAUGUUGUGCAGCUGUAACAGCUAAGGAAUAUGAGGGAAAAAAUACUACCUUACUGGCAAGCCAGCUUUUCCAGUGAUUCUGUAUAACCCGGGGACCCGCUCACUAGUUCAGCAGUGUCGAGCGUGGUCAGUAGUGGGAUGGGUGACCGCCCCACGUGACAUAUUUUAGGGGUAUUCUAAUUUUGGCGCUUUUUACUCUUUAAACAUUAUGCUAAUUUAUGAUGGCGCUAAUUGAUUUCUGUAUGUAAUUUUCUAUUGCACAUAUUGUGAGAAUGCCAAUUAAUUGGUGUGCAAAUCUGUUAAAAUUUGAUUAUAAGCUAAAAAUGUGUGUCGGCUAAAAUAAUUACUCUUACAGUAUAUGUUUAUAUCAUUUGUACUUUCUGCAACAACAGCAAGCUUUUAUAUGAACUGUAGAAAACUCAAAUAAAAUUAUUUUAUAC